CUUACACACAACCAGAAACACAUAAUACAUCCUUUAUACACAAAUACACACUGCUUCCACUACACACAAACACACUGCAUCACCUGCACAAACUGGUAACCCUAAACACUACAUACCAUAAGCACACAUAUUAGAUCCUCUACAAUAACACAUAACACAUCCCCUACACACUCCACUCCCUGUGAGUGAACUCACAGGUGGGUGGAACUUAUGAGUGGGCCUUAUGGGCAUACUCACCGUCAGGCCCUGGGGCCCAGACCUUGAGCUGUGUAAGGGGCCCCCAAAAAAUUGAGCUGCUUCCAAUUCUCCCAGAACAUUGAAUUUUGUGACCACAGUUGCAAACAGCCUCCAGAGAUCCUGUUCUACUCCAGACCAGUGAGCCAAACUGCAGCCCAUCAUCAUCCUCAUCUGCUUGUAAGUAGGCAAUCUAGUAUAUUAUUAGUGACACUAAUCUAUAAUUUACCUCACAUUAAAGGGACACUAUAGCUUAAUGAAGUGGUUCUGUGUCUAUAGCUGGUCCCUGCAGGCUUUUUAAUGUAAACACACACUGUGUGCAGCACUGGCGUUAGUUCAUAUGGCAGAUCAUAUGGGUGGGGCAUUGUGAUGUGACAUGUGGGGGCAGUAAAUUUUUAUUUUGUCUAGGGCGGCAAAAAUCCUUGCACCGGCUCUGAUCCUGGGCAGGUGCACCAGUCUACUUGACUGGUUUUGCCCCCCAGGCCUAAGGCUGCCAGCCCUCUCCUGGCCGCUGGGGAGGUCUUUUGGCGGCCGCUGGCGGACUUGUCCUGGCGGCCGCUGGCGGACUUGUCCUGGCGGCCGCUGAGGGAGCUGCGCGAGCUGCGCUGGCUCUGCUCCCCAGCACGCAGCUGAAUGAGACCGGCGCCGGAAUAUGACGUCAUAUUCCGGCGCCAGUCUCAUUCAGCAGCGCGCGAGGGCGGGAGGGCAUUAACACAGGAAGCACCUCUAGUGACCGUCUGAGUGACUGUCACUAGCAGUGUCACUUUGAAGCAAUGUAAACACUGCCUUUUGUCUGAAAAGUCAGUGUUUACUUUGAAAAGCCUGUAGGGACAUGCUAUAGACACCAGUACCACCACAUUAAGCUGUGUGUGUGCGUCUGCUAGUGAGUGAGCUUGCUUGCAUGCGUGUGCCUGCUAGUGAGUGAGUUUGUGUUUUUAUGUCAAUGAGCUGAUGUAUAUCAGUAAGAUUGUUUGUCUAUGAGGCUGUGUAUCAAUGAGCUUGUGUGUGUCACUGAAAUGUCAGUGAAAUUGCCUGUGUCUGCAUGUGCGUAUGCUUACUGUAUAAUUAAACGCUUUACCCUGAAAGGACCAAUAUUUUAUAUUAGAAAAAGCAAUAUAUAUAUAUAUAUAUAUAUAUAUAUAUAUAUAUAUAUAUUACUCAAUCAUCUGUCCUGGAAAGAUAUAGCCUUACAUAUUACACGCGACAAUAUAUGGCGCAGUGACUUAUGGGGCUGGCACAAAUUUUUUUUCCAGGGCUGCUUUGUAUCCCCAGUCCGGCCCUGGCUAAAACCCACAAAGGAAAUAACAAUCUCUGAGAAAUCUCCUGCUCUGGUCUCUCUAUUUGCUCUAUUCUGCUGUAUUUGUGUGAUUUUGCUACAAGUGGCACACCUCUAGCAAUCCAUCUGUUGUGGAGCAAAUUUAAAUACCGGUACGGUAUAUAUUUUUUUAACCAUGUAAUAUAAAAUAAAAACAUUAAGGCAAAAUAAAUGGCAUCUCGGUAAUCUGCAGGCACUGAGCUUUUGGUUUUAGGGAUUAUAAUGUCUUCUAAACCCCUCCAUAUGCAUUAUAUUAUGUUAAAAUAAUGCCAUUGUUUUGUAGUGAUAUAGUGUUAUUAUAGUGAUAUAAUAACACUUUAUCACUAUGUAUGUUUAGGCUCAGGUCAGUGUAUUACAGCUUGUGUUAGGGGUUAAAGGGACACUCCGGGCACCCAGACCACUUCUGCCCAUUGGAGUGGUCUGGGUGCCAACUCCCACUACCCUUAACCAUGCAAGUGUAAUUAUUGCAGUUUUUAUAAACUGCAAUAAUUACCUUGCAGGGUUAAGUCCUCCUCUAGUGGCUGUCUACCAGACAGCCACUUGAGGGACUUUAAUGUUCUUACAUAGUUACAUAGCUGAAAAGAGACUUGCGUCCAUCAAGUUCAGCCUUCCUCAUAUGUUUUUGCUGUUGAUCCAAAAGAAGGCAAAAAACCUGGUCUGAAGCGCUUCCAAUUUUGCAACAAACUAGGAAGAAAUUCCUUCUUGACCCCAAAAUAGCAGUCAGAUGUCUCCUUGAAUCAAGCAGCUAUUACCCCACUAAUUAGAAAUUAUAUCCCUGUAUGUUAUGUUUUUGCAAGUAUUAAUCCAAUUGCCGUUUAACCCCUUAAGGACCAGACUUCUGGAAUAAAAGGGAAUCAUGACAUGUCACACAUGUCAUGUGUCCUUGAGGGGUUAAACAUCUGUAUAGACUCUGACAAAACCACCUCUUCAGGCAAAGAAUUCCAUAUCCUUUUUGCUCUUACUGUAAAAAAACCUUUUCUUUGCCUUAGAUGAAAUCUCCUUUCUUCAAGCCUAAAUGUGUGACCUCGUGUCCUAUGUAUAGCCCUGUUUAUGAAUAGAUUUCCAGAUAAUGGUUUGUACUGGCCCCGAAUAUAUUUGUAUAAUGUUAUCAUAUCCCCUCUCAGGCGCCGUUUUUCCAAACUAAAGAGAUUUAAAUUUUUUAACCUUUCUUCAUAACUAAAAUGCUCUAUUCCUUUUAGCAAUUUUGUAGCUCGGCUCUGCACUUUGCACAGCAUAUUCAAGGUGUGGUCUUACCAGCGAUUUAUAAAGAGGCAAAAUUAUAUUUUCAUCUCGAGAAUUUAUGCCCCUAUUUAUGCAUGACAAAACUGGCCUUAGCAACAGCAGAUUGACAUUGCAUAUUGUCAUUCUUAGAACACGAAAAGUGUUUUAAACGACGCUGGACGUCCUCACACUAUGUGAGGACCUCCAGCGUCGCCAGAAUCCCCAUGGGAAGGCAUUGAAUAAUGCUGCGUAUACGCAUUAGUUCUCCCCCACCGGGUGACGUCGGCGGGGGAGGAGAGUAGGCGGAGCCUGACCCAGCGCCGAGGGACAUUGGCGUUGGACCCCGGUAAGUCACUUAAGGGGUUUUGACCUAGUGUAGCAGUUAAUAGUUAACAUAAUAUAAUAGUGUAAUAUGGUGUAGUGGUUAAUUUAAUGUAGUUUUAUAAUGGAAGGGUAAUAUAGUGUAGUGGUUAGUGUAAUAUAAUGGAGGGGUAAUAUAGUGUAGUGGUUAGUGUAAUAUAAGGGAGGGGUAAUAUAGUGUAGUGGUUAGUGUAAUAUAAUGGAGGGGUAAUAUAGUGUAGUGGUUAGUGUAAUAUAAUGGAGGGAUAAUAUAGUGUAGUGGUUAGUGUUAUAUAAUGGAGGGGUAAUAUAGUGUAGUGGUUAGUGUAAUAUAAUGGAGGGGUAGUAUAGUGUAGACGUUUGUGUAAUGUAAUGGAGGGGUAAUAUAGUGUAGUGCAAGCGUGUUUAACUCAAAGACGGGCCAAAUAAACAAGGUUUACGUUUAUGUGGGCCGCAAAAAAAAAUAAACUUCAGUUUUCAUAGAAACGUAGGUUUAUUUAGAAAAGUACAGUAUAAAAAAAGUUGCCUUACUGACACUGGACGUCCUCACGCUUGUAGGGCUUCAAAGUAAACAAAAGAGCAUGGAGACGCACGUUAUUUUAAGGAGACCUGCAUUUGCAUAUAACCAACGAUUCAGUCCAACUACCUUGACAUAUUAAGAAAUGUUUGGUAAUGGGACUGAAAUGGUGAAUGUAUGUUGUUGCACACCUGUAAAAAAAAACAAAUUACAUUAUCUUGUUGAUUUUAAAGUUCUAUGGGUGUAUUCAGCACUUUGGCUGAGAUCAUCAAACUUGAUGAUCUCAGCCAAUCCAAUGAUUUCCCAUAGGAAAGCAUUGGGAGGCUAUUGUGAAUGUGUGGCAAAAAGCUGCGCGGCCAAACAGCAUCUCCACGGGGAGCGUUUAGUGUCUCCAUGCAGACCCAAUCUAACACACUGGCCCUCUUCCCAAUCUAAUACACUGCCCACAAAUCCAAUACAUUUUCCCCCUCCCUCCACUGUUAUACACUGCCCCCUUCACCCAAUCUAAUACACUGCCCCUUGUCCCUCCGCUCUAAUUGAAUAGACUGUCCCCACUCCACUUUAAUACACUUCUCUCCAUACCCCUAAUUUAAAAAGAAGCACGUCACCGCUCUAAUACACUGGCUCCCUCCCUCAAAUAAAUAAAUACACAGGCCCCCUCCCUUCCUCCCAUUAAUACACUGCCCCCUCCUUCCUUCAAAUACACUGUCCCCCUUCCCCAAUUUAACACACUGGCCCCCUGACUUCCCCAAAUUAAUACAGUGCCCUCUCCAUCAUAUUAAUACACUGCCCCUUCCCUCCCAUUAAUAAACUGACCCCUACCUCCCAUUAAUACACUGUCCCCCUUCCCCAAUUUAAUACAAUGGCCCCCUGACUUCCCCAAUUAAUACAGUGCCCCCUCCCUCAUAUUAAUACACUGCCCCUUCCCUCCCAUUAAUACACUGCCACCCUUCCCCAAUUUAAUACACUGGCCCCUCCCUCCCCCAAAUUAAUACACUGCCCCUUCCCUCCCAUUAAUAUACUGCACCCUUCCCCCAAUUUAAUACACUGGCCCCUCCCUCCCCCAAAUUAAUACACUGCCCCUUCCCUCCCAUUAAUAUACUGCCCCUCUCCCUCCCCAAUUUAAUAUAUUAACUAAUACACUGCUCCCCCCACCAACACUCCAAUGCACUGCUCCCUCCCUCCCUAAAAUGAAUACACUGCCCCUUCCCUCCCAUUAAUAUACUACCCCUCUCCCUCCCCAAGUUAAUACACUGUCCCUUCCCUCUCUUAAAUUAAUACACUGCUCCCCCCCACCAACACUCCAAUACACUGCCCUCUUCCCUCCCAUUAAUACACUGCCCCCUCCCUCCUAUUAAUACACUGCCCUCUUCCCUCUCAUUAAUAAACUGACCACUCCCUCCCCAAGUUAAUACACUGUCCCUUCCCUCUCUUAAAUUAAUACACUGCUCCCCCCAAUCCCACUCCAAUACACUGCCCCCCUCCCUCCUAUUAAUACACUGGCCCCCUCCCCCAAAUAAAUACACUGCCCCCUCCUUCCCAAAUACACUGCCCCCCCCCCCCAAUUUAAUAUUAUUGUUAUAAAUUAGAAUCAAGGAACACAUCCUCCACAUGGAAUGCUCUUAUCAGUUUCAUUAGAGUUCACGUUAUAGGAGUGCAUGUAGCGAUGGAUUAAGAGCAGCCAGUUUCCCAAGAGCUUAAACAUCUGUGGACGCUACCCACCGCCGUUUUAUCAUCUGCAUGCACUUCUGUGGUGUGAAUUUUACUUUGACUCCAUUAAUAGUUACGCGUUAUAACUAAUAUAACUAACUUGAGUAGAACAUAAACUUUUCAACAAAAUACUUUCAUCCAAAGAUCAUACUGAAACGAGAGAAAAACAAAGGUUAGUCAAUGAAUUACUCAUGGGAAAAAAAGCAAGAAAUAAAGGUUAGUCAAUGUAUUACUCAUGGAAAAAAAACUAUCAAGCAGAGCAUAAAAAAUGAAUUUACAUCACGAAAAAACCUGGCGAUAAGAAAUCAAGGCCUAUAAUGUAUCAGAUUCAGCCAUCAACAUAUAGCAAACUGGCCUACAUACCUCAGAAGAACAAUCAAUGCGGUGGAAUAAACAUAAAAGAAAACAAAGGGAAAUAUUUUAUAAAUGGUAAGGAAAUAUUUGCCUCCUGUCAUUACUAAAAUUAAGGUUACAGGUAUAUGAAAGAUAUAGCAUAAUCUACAAUUUUACUGCAGGACAGGAGGCUUCAUAUUUUGCUGUAUUAAUGCUCUGAAACAAUACCAAAAGGAAGCAUGAGGAGAAGGACGAUAAUAAAAACCGUCUGAAUGUGUCUACCCUGGAGCAGUCAGCCGACUGUAGGAUAUCAAAAGGGUUGCUCCCACAGAAAAAUCCAGUGAGGCUGCCACACCUCGAACCGAGUGGGCCUCAUAACACAGAUCCAUACCCACCAAGGACAAUAACCAGAAAAUCCACCGAGCUAAGGUAGUAGUGGACACUGGUUUAUGUGGAUGAACAAUGAGCAAAUUCCCAGAUUGAGAUGUCAGUAACAGGAAAGUAACCUCUACGUAAUGGGUAAAUGCAGAAACAACGCAAAGCUUCGGGAUGUCGUGAAAAUAAGGAUAGAAAAAUAAAGAGGAAUACGAUUUAGAAUCACUCCACCCUGAGCAUAAUGUUGUGUUGACAGCAAAAUUCGUAUAUAUUUCCUUCAACACUUCUGAAAUAGUGAGGGAUCUUGCUCCUCCAAGACCAUUGGUAUAUUGCACUGCCAAAAUGUUGUCCAUUCAUAACAAGAUGCAGCAAUUGGAGGGAUGGAAUAAAUCAGACAGUGGAUCAAAUUCUCCUGAAGAAGUCCUAACUGAAAUGCACAAAAUGCACAGAGCGAGCAACGAUCAUUGGAGGGAUUCCCUGGACAGCUACUACAUUUCCACUUUGUACAAGGUACAGGACUCCGGAGGAGCCGUUACCAGUGGGGCUCCUAUCACUCAAUGGACUUUAACUGUUGCUGAUUUACACUGGGACUCAGCCUCAUAGUGGGCAUAUUGAUUUGUGCCAUCUUGUUUGUGCUUUUAUGUUUUUUGAUGUUAUUGUGUUUAAGAAAUAUACUACCCUAUUCGCUCUCAUUUUCCGUUAUUUUAUGUAUGAGUUUCUAAGCUAUUUAUAACAGCUGCAGGACUGGUAACUAUUUACUAUUAUAGCUAAAAUCUGAGACCUCAUUGCUAAAUUUACUCUUUUUGAUUUUUAAUAACAUGUAACAACAGUUAGAGGCACUAGCUCAAUAGAGAUGUCGCGAACCGUCCGCGAACUUCUCGCGAACGGUUCGCCGCGAGCUGUUCACGGCGAAUUCCGGUCAGCUGACACGUCCCGGCCAAUCUCCAGCAGACCCUCCCUCCCAGACCCUCCUACUUCCUGGACAGCAUUCAUGUUUCAACAUCUCUAUAGCUCAAUAUAACAGGGUAUCACCCAGAGUAUGUGGGUAUGCAAGCAAUAGGUGAUGGGUACAGAAAACGAGGGCCAACUAUUUAGCUCUAUUUCGUGACAGCUGAAACCUCAGACCAGCCAGUCACAGGUGGCAGGCAGUAAUAAGGUUCUCAUUCAAAGCUUGUAACGCAAUGCCAGUCAAGGAAAUCUGCAACAAUCAGAGUGUAUAUAUAUAUAUAUUUAUAUAUAUAUAUGUAUAACGGUAGUCACCAUCACCUGGACCUUCAGACAGAUUAUUUAUGUAGGUUGCUGGACUUUUCUUAUGUUUUAGUCACCCUGUACCCAUUAUAGGUGCAGGGUGUGUCUAUUGUAAUUGUUUAUAAUGUGUAUGUGUAUACUGUUAAGUGUUUUGCCUGCUCUCCUUUACUACUGAAGAUUGCUACCAACUAGGUGGAUUUGGCUAUAGAGCCUGUGUAGUGCCCUCUGUUGGCAGCAACAGCAAUAUGCACUACUGAAUAGCAAGGCUGGUGAAUUUGCAUAUUUGGGUAGAUUUGCAUCUUGCUAAUUCUGCAGGCAGGAGAGAUAUUUUCUGUUAAUUUUCUGUUAAUUUCUGUCUUCCCCACCCCUUUAUAAAUAUGUCAAUGUUUUAUAAAUUGCUGUAUUUUGUCUGCUAUGAUUUGACUGUUUCUAUUUUUUUUGAGUUGUCACAGCAAUCUUUAUGUAAUAAUCAUAUGGGCUAGUCCUGAGAAAAAUAAAGCUUUAUAUGACAGUUCCUUUUGGAACUUGUGUCCUGUGUGGAUUUGUAGGGAUCUUAAUGAUAGAGUCUUUAGAUCUGUUUGCUGGUUGUAGGGUCCCUUUAGCCCUAGGAUAAAGCAAGAGAGCUAAGCUGCAAGUGUAUUUUUAAAAACAAGAGUUAUAACAUUGCAGAUAAGUGUGGAUACCUGCCUGGAAGAAGGGCUGCACCAAGAGAAAGAGGGUACUAUACCUACCUGGAUGGAAAAUCUCCAGAAGGACCCCAGUCAAACUUCGACAUCAGGGGCUGAAGUGCUCCAGGGUCCCUGCAAGCAGCUAGGAAGCGGACUGGGCGGAGAUACUAGGUAAGAGUACAAGAGCUCCAUCACAUUUGGUGGCAGCGGUGGGAUGGCUUCUUUACACCUUGGGAAACGUCCCUGGGAUACCUGCGCACCUUCUGGAAAGGGAUAGCACUUGUGCAACAUACUUGUCAGGCAAGCAUGGCAUCCUCAGACUUUUACUUCCUGUUCCAGGUCUCCGGCGAAAAGGUUUGCAGCAGCUCUUGGCAGAGGUGCAACUAAUCUGGGAGGAUAUGCCCACAGAUUUUAUUGACUUUAUAUCAGAGGAUGUUAGCCUCCCUCCCCAGCGGAAGAUGGGAGUCCAACGUGUGGAGGUACAGGCAGCCAGCCUCCCUCCCCAGCGGCAGAUUGCAACACAGCAAGAGGAGGUAGAGGUAGGCGGUCUACUUUAACAUCAGCAGAGUGCAAAUUCAGGAUUAAAUAAAGUAUAUUAG
rnacentral:lncRNA from 1 species